rnacentral:rRNA from 1 species
CUUGGAUAUGGGGAUUUUACGACGGCAACGUAAAGGAAUGUGGAGACGCCGGCAUGGGCCCUGGGAGGAGUUUUCUUUUCUUGUUAACGCCUUAACACCCCGGAAUUGGUUUAUCCGGAGAGGGGNUNUUAUGGGCGGAAGAGCGUGGCCCNAAAUUUAUUUUGCAGUUAGCCACGUCUGGAGCGCUCAUNNCGGUCCGUGAAAAUCCNNAGGAGAGAGAUAUUCUUCAUGCCAAGUNGUACU